UACGUAGGUGGCAAGCGUUGUCCGGAAUUAUUGGGCGUAAAGCGCGCGCAGGCGGUUCCUUAAGUCUGAUGUGAAAGCCCACGGCUCAACCGUGGAGGGUCAUUGGAAACUGGGGAACUUGAGUGCAGAAGAGGAGAGCGGAAUUCCACGUGUAGCGGUGAAAUGCGUAGAGAUGUGGAGGAACACCAGUGGCGAAGGCGGCUCUCUGGUCUGUAACUGACGCUGAGGCGCGAAAGCGUGGGGAGCAAACAGG
rnacentral:rRNA from 1 species